rnacentral:tRNA from 1 species
CAAAGCCUCGUGGUGAAGCAUCACGUUGGAUUGCAAAUCCAGAAACGCAGAGUAAUACCCUGCCGGGGCUUU